rnacentral:rRNA from 1 species
CCGGCAUAACUCCGGGAAACUGGAGAUAAUUCCGGAUAACGCAUAUAUGCUGGAAUGCUUUAUGCGUAAAAUGGAUUCGUCUGCCCAAGGAUGGGUCUGCGGCCUAUCAGGUGGUAGUGGGUGUAAUGUACCUACUAGCCUACGACGGGUACGGGUUGUGAGAGCAAGAGCCCGGAGAUGGAUUCUGAGACAUGAAUCCAGGCCCUACGGGGCGCAGCAGGCGCGAAAACUUUACAAUGCGGGAAACCGUGAUAAGGGGACACCGAGUGCCAGCAUCAUAUGCUGGCUGUCCAGGUGUGUAAAAUACACCUGUUAGCAAGGGCCGGGCAAGACCGGUGCCAGCCGCCGCGGUAACACCGGCGGCCCGAGUGGUGAUCGUGAUUAUUGGGUCUAAAGGGUCCGUAGCCGGUUUGGUCAGUCCUCCGGGAAAUCUGAUAGCUUAACUAUUAGGCUUUCGGAGGAUACUGCCAGACUUGGAACCGGGAGAGGUAAGAGGUACUACAGGGGUAGGAGUGAAAUCUUGUAAUCCCUGUGGGACCACCUGUGGCGAAGGCGUCUUACCAGAACGGGUUCGACGGUGAGGGACGAAAGCUGGGGGCACGAACCGGAUUAGAUACCCGGGUAGUCCCAGCCGUAAACGAUGCUCGCUAGGUGUCAGGCAUGGCGCGACCGUGUCUGGUGCCGCAGGGAAGCCGUGAAGCGAGCCACCUGGGAAGUACGGCCGCAAGGCUG